GAUGAACGCUGGCGGCGUGCCUAAUACAUGCAAGUCGAGCGAACAGAUGAGGAGCUUGCUCCUCUGACGUUAGCGGCGGACGGGUGAGUAACACGUGGAUAACCUACCUAUAAGACUGGGAUAACUUCGGGAAACCGGAGCUAAUACCGGAUAAUAUAUUGAACCGCAUGGUUCAAUAGUGAAAGACGGUUUUGCUGUCACUUAUAGCUGGAUCCGCGCCGCAUUAGCUAGUUGGUAAGGUAACGGCUUACCAAGGCAACGAUGCGUAGCCGACCUGAGAGGGUGAUCGGCCACACUGGAACUGAGACACGGUCCAGACUCCUACGGGAGGCAGCAGUAGGGAAUCUUCCGCAAUGGGCGAAAGCCUGACGGAGCAACGCCGCGUGAGUGAUGAAGGUCUUCGGAUCGUAAAACUCUGUUAUUAGGGAAGAACAAAUGUGUAAGUAAAUAUGCACGUCUUGACGGUACCUAAUCAGAAAGCAACGGCUAACUACGUG
rnacentral:rRNA from 1 species